rnacentral:rRNA from 1 species
GGAUGCCUUUAAUCAAAAGGAUUGGUUUAGUCAACCCAUAAGAUUGAUUCAUUACCUUGGAGUUCCAGAGGGAUUUUGUGUAGCAUGUUCUUCAGCUGAGCGACUACUUCGUCGGCCAAACACCCGGCUCCUGCUGCAAAGAUGUCCACUGUCCAAGACCCGUGCGUAUCAUUAUUCUCCCUGUCUGUGCCGCGCAACAGCAGUUUCCUGUAGCCCUGCCUCCAUCAGCUUCUCCCUCUUCCUUGCAA